rnacentral:rRNA from 1 species
UACGAAGGGGGCUAGCGUUGCUCGGAUUGACUGGGCGUAAAGGGCGCGUAGGCGGUUCGUACAGUCAGACGUGAAAUUCCUGGGCUCAACCUGGGGGCUGCGUUUGAUACGUGCGGACUUGAGUCCGGAAGAGGAGAGUGGAAUUCCUGGUGUAGCGGUGAAAUGCGCAGAUAUCAGGAAGAACACCCGUGGCGAAGGCGGCUCUCUGGGCCUUACCUGACGCUGAGGAGCGAAAGCGUGGGUAGCGAACAGG